GUGGAUUUAUGUCCAACUACAAGCAUUCGUACCUAUAUAGGGAGAUGUGAGAGACGGUUGCAAGGGUUAGAAGCGAGUAGGAUAGGGACACAGAUAGAAUGAUAAACAUGAUUAUGGAUGCGAUUGAUCCUGAAUUUAACUGGGAUGUAGAGAACGAUCCACAAACUGGCAGUGGCGAUUCUACCAUAUGUUGAAAGAUGCUAAUGAACCAAUAUGGUUGGAAUGUAAAACACAUACUAUAUUAUCAGCUGUGUCAGAGUUAUUGAAUUUGAAGGUCGAGUUUAAUAUGACAGUCAAUUGUUAUGAUAGAAUGGUAGUAAUAAUAAAGAAGAUGCUACCC
rnacentral:lncRNA from 1 species